GAUGAACGCUAGCGGCAGGCCUAACACAUGCAAGUCGAGGGGUAUAAAAGAGCUUGCUUUUUUAGAGACCGGCAAACGGGUGCGGAACACGUACGCAAUCUGCCCCUUAUCACGGGGAUAGCCCCAGAGAAAUUUGGAUUAAUACCCGAUAGUAUUAUAAUAAGGCAUCUUGUUGUAAUUAAAGCUAUGGCGGAUAAGGAUGAGCGUGCGCAAGAUUAGCUAGUUGGUGAGGUUAACGGCUCACCAAGGCGACGAUCUUUAGCUGAUGUGAGAGCAUGAUCAGCCACACGGGCACUGAGACACGGGCCCGACUCCUACGGGAGCAGCAGUGAGGAAUAUUGGUCAAUGGACGGAAGUCUGAACCAGCCAUGCCGCGUGAAGGAUGAAGGCGUUCUGCGUUG
rnacentral:rRNA from 1 species